rnacentral:rRNA from 1 species
UUGGAGGGCAAGUCUGGUGCCAGCAGCCGCGGUAAUUCCAGCUCCAAUAGCGUAUAUUAAACUUGUUGCAGUUAAAAAGCUCGUAGUUGAAUUUGAGCUUGCGCGCGCAGCCGUUUUCGGAUUUCGCCGCUUGCUUUUUUGUUACUUUGAGAAAAUUAGAGUGUUUCAAGCAGACUUUUGUCUUGAAUACUUCAGCAUGGAAUAAUAGAGUAGGACCUUGGUUCUAUUUUGUUGGUUUUUGAGCCUUGGUAAUGGUUAAUAGGAACGGUUGGGGGCAUUCGUAUUUAACUGUCAGAGGUGAAAUUCUUAGAUUUGUUAAAGACGAACUAGUGCGAAAGCAUUUGCCAAGGACGUUUUCAUUAAUCAAGAACGAAAGUUAGGGGAUCGAAGACGAUCAGAUACCGU